rnacentral:lncRNA from 1 species
UUAAUAUCGAGAGUUCAUAUGGGAAACUCAAGAGAGCUUAGAGGAUUGCUUAGCUUAGCUGAGCACGGGGCAUAUUCAGCAUAACUGGGGUAUAUGUUAGCUCGGGGAUACUUAGCAUAAUUGGUGUAGCUCAGGAGAGCUCACGUAUGAAACCCAAUUUGGACAUUAGAAUCAUAAUAAAUAAAAAUAAGCAUACAAAAUAAAGAACACAAAAAAUUACUUGGU